GGGGGAUAUUGCACAAUGGAGGAAACUCUGAUGCAGCAACGCCGCGUGAGGGAAGAAGGUCUUCGGAUUGUAAACCUUUGUCCUUGGUGACGAAACAAAUGACGGUCGCCAAGGAGGAAGCUCCGGCAAACUACGUGCCAGCAGCCGCGGCAAUACGUAGGGAGCAAGCGUUGUCCGGAUUUACUGGGUGUAAAGGGUGCGUAGGCGGCUCUGCAAGUCAGGCGUGAAAACUAUGGGCUUAACCCAUAGACUGCGUUUGAAACUGUGGGGCUUGAGUGAAGUAGACGUAGGCGGAAUUCCUGGUGUAGCGGUGAAAUGCGUAGAGAUCGGGAGGAACACCAGUGGCGAAGGCGGCCUACUGGGCUUUAACUGACGCUGAAGCACGAAAGCAUGGGUAGCAAAC
rnacentral:rRNA from 1 species